UUUUUGAUACUGUUGUUGUUAAAACAGAUUGACUUUUUGUUGGAAAUGUAUCACGAGAUAACCAACUUUUUGUCUGCUUUUCUGGAAACAUCACAUCGUUUGAAGUGGUAAGAAAACUUUUUUCAGGAAAGCGACGCGCGUUAGCUGUGAUCACACACAUAUAUUAACAACACCACACAAACAUUUACACUCUUAUUGAUGAUCAAAAUAGAUACGAAUUAUUUGAAGAAUCUUUGAUUUUUCCUUACUUUCGAAACUGGAAAUGACGAAAACGGUUUCUUUACUAAAACAGAGGGUGUUCUAUAGAAAGAUGCUUUUUUCACGUUAUUAAAAGAAAUUGUAAAAACAUCACUUUGCGACGUUUUCAUAUUUUUGUUAGUCGAGGAAUGACAAGAAUACUUUUUGUCUAAAACUUUAGCAUGAAACGGUAUCAAUAUUCUAAUGAAUCAUACAAAUCAUAAUAUUUUUUGAAAAACUUUUUUUUACCUUUCUGAAAAGGGUUUUUGUGGACUGUUUAAUGAAGAAAAGAAAUACGGCUUAUUCAAUGCAUUUCGUAG